UUCCUUCUGGGUGUUACAAACUUCAUGGCAAACUUAAUAUACCCUGCUCAGGGUAUAAAAAUAUUGGACAUAUUAUACUAAGGAAUCCCAAUUAUAAAUAGUACAGUCUCAAGGAUGGUAUGUAUGUAUUGUAUGAACUCUUAAUACCCUUUCCAUAGAUCAUUAACAUCUUACUAAAGAAGAGCAUUCAACUAUUUGCACAAUAUGGCUGUAUUGAUGAUGAUGUUCUUUCACUAGAUUCUCCUUGCACCAGACCUAACAUAUCUAUCACUAAAUACUUAAGCUCAGAGUUACACAGGUUUUCACAGAGGUUUCUUUUAAUAUAUCUAUUAUAUUCACUCAAAUAAAAUAAAGCCUUCUUUAAUCUGAACUAAAUUUUUUAUAAAUACUCACCGACCCAAUGAAGGCAAAUUGCGUAAGUAUCUAAACAUUUACAGAAGGGAAUAUUUGUGUGGAAGCAAAAGAUACCCCUGACAAGAGUUAAGGCUUAAAAGUAACGAAGCUCGAUAUUUAGAUAAAUUCGAAAUAGAAUUUUUAUCAAUGUAUUACUUAUAUGUACAGACUGAUAGCGAAAUGAAGACCACAUAACUUCAAAACAAACUGACAUAACAUUACAGAAACCAUGCUAUUAAACAGCCAUCGGGUCCACCCAUUACGAAUGAAAACACUCUUUGUCAAAAAAUUCCGGAACAAUGAUAUAGAUAAACCCCAAAAGCACCAGUCAACCGGAACAAACGACCGACAGGGUAAACUAAACUGGCAAACAAACGAACAAUUACAAUAGACCGGCAGACAAACGUCAAAAACGCAGCCGAAUCAACGAAAUUGAUGAAAUGGAAACAAAACAACAAAAAGAAAUUGUGAAAUACGAGAAAAAAGCACUAGUCGAAUAAUUGUAGGCAGAGUUAAAAGAAAAUAUCAUGUUUUUGUAAUUUCGCACUUCAUUUAGCGUUUAAUUAAAAAGUAUGAGUUUCUUACGGGUGGGAAACUCUUUGUAAGCAGAGUAUGAAAAAACAAAGUAGAAAAGCACGAAAGUGUAAAAAGAAAAAACGUGAAAUUAAGUCUGUGAUUGAAAGCUGGUCAGCACUGUCAAGGCGCUUACAACAAAACAUUCAAUACAACCGAAAGUAUUGUGUGGCAAAAGUGAAAUAAAUUGUAUGAACAACGCGCAUAGCAUUUAAUUAUUGGAUAAAAGAAAUAUUAAUGUCGGUUAAUCAACCUACGAACGGAGGUUGGUAUUGCAGAUGGGCGUAACCGGACCACUGUCACUCCCGCAAAAUUGCAUUAAACAAAAACCCAUAAAGUGAGCGAGUUAAGUGUAAUUUGAUACAGGAGAUUGCAAUAGCUAGAGACACCUGUGGGCCCAACCUUGCACAAUCCCUCACAGAAACCCUCAAUGUAUUUCAUCUUGCGCUCAAAACUUAUCAAAAUCGGACUAUAACUUUACAAGGACCAAGACACCGAAUAUGUGGACGCCAGCGCAUAAGGAUAAUUUUUUAUCGAACAUAUCGGUCAAUCAGCAAGGUCUAGUAUUGAAAUUCAGCGAAAAUACUUUUGUGAUGACUGCAUGCACUUGUGCCACAAAUGGCAACUCUAGACUGGCUUAAGCCUUUAAAUUCUACGAAGUAGUCGCAAACUCCCGACCAAUUUAGACGACAAGCUAAGUAUCUUGAGUAAUGGAAGUUGAGUAUACUUAACAUGAUGGAAAGUUUCGACUAACUAUGAGCUAAUUUGGACUUAAUUUUAUAAUGCUGAAAUUCUAUAUCAAAUGAUUCCCCUAAUCAUAUCACUAUUCUAAAUUAAUUCAGAUAUACAUAUUGUAUAUAAAAUAUAUAUGUACAUACAUAAAUAAAUGCGUAGUUUCUAUUGCCGUUUAGGUUAUUUGUUUGACCGAACUUCGUGCAAGAGUUUUGCCAUAGCCGAACUGCUAAAAAAAUGUUAAGAGAAAUGUGUUCGUUAAACUCAGUUCUGCAUUCGUUGUUUAGAGUGAAAAAAAAAAUAAAUUCAAAUAAUUGAAAGAUUUUAAAUAAUUUAAUACCUUAAAUAUACUUUUAAGU